rnacentral:tRNA from 1 species
UGGAUCACCUCCUAACAGGGAGACAACAAAAUGUUAAAUAUUAAUUUUGUCACCUUAGGUCGAUCGGUAUCUCAGAUUCUUAAUUACUUUAAGAAUUUCAUUUCCUAAGUUUUUUCUAGGUCACACCCAUUACUUUUCCUGGGCCAUUAGCUCAGGUGGUUAGAGCGCACCCCUGAUAAGGGUGAGGUCCCUGGUUCAAGUCCAGGAUGGCCCAUAUCUCUAUGUUGGGGGUAUAGCUCAGUUGGUAGAGCGCCUGCUUUGCAAGCAGGAUGUCAGCGGUUCGAGUCCGCUUACCUCCACUGAUUACCACCUCUUCCAUAAAUUUAAAGAAGGGAAUUGUUAAUAGAUGUGAUUUAGUUCUGAACGAAUCUAGCUUCCUAAUAAAUACAUUAAGAUGCUGGACUCAUUGAAUUUUAUUCAUUGUUUUCAGAGAACCUUGACAACUGCAUAGAUUAUUUUUUAAAGACAAUAAGCAUCUUUAAUGAUGCAGAUUUAUUAUUUGUGCUAAUGCAUUAAUAACAAUUCUAUUGAGCUGAUGCUUCAAUUUUUUGAAGUUAUUGGUCAAGCUACAAAGGGCUCACGGAGGAUACCUAGGCACACAGAGGCGAUGAAGG